rnacentral:lncRNA from 10 species
CUUCUUUUUUUGGAAAGUGGCUUUUAUGGUCGGGCCACGGUAUAAUUUGCCCUGCCCAGUGAGGGCAGCUGCUGAGGAAUGCAGGGGAGGAAGAACCUGAGACAGCGCCACGUUCCUGGUAAUAUAGUCCCAUGAUCCCACACAAAGAAGAUUCCUGGCCGGGCACAAUGGCUCACACCUCUAAUGCCAGCACUUUGGGAGGCCGAGGAGGGAAGAUCACUUGAGCUCAAGAGUUCGAGACCAGCGUGGGCAACAUAGUGAGACACCAUUCCUACAAAAAUAAAAAAUAAAAAAAUUAGCCGGGUGGAGUGGUACGUGCCUAUAGUACACAGCUACAGCCAUGCAGGAGGCUAAGACUGGGGGAUUGCUUGAGCCCAGGAGUUUGAGGCUGCAGUGAGCUAUGAUCACACUGCUGCACUCCAACCUGGAUGACAGAGUGAGACCUUGUCUCUCUCUCUCUCUGUUUUUUGUUUGUUUGUUUGUUUGUUUGUUUGUUUUUUAGACAGAGUUUCGCUCUUGUUGCCCAGGCUGGAGUGCAAUGGCAUGACCUCGGCUUGCUGCAACUUUUGCCUCCUGGGUUCAAGUGAUUCUCCUGCCUCAGCCUCCCGAGUAGCUGGAAUUAGAGGCGCCCGCC